AUGUGAAUCAUUUGGAGAUCUUGUUUAAAAGCAGAUUCUAAUUCAGUAGAUCUGACAUGAAGCCUAAGAGUCUGCUUUUUUAACAAGCUCCCAAGUGCUGCUGGC
rnacentral:pre_miRNA from 1 species